AUACAUUAACAUUACUCUAUUUAUGGAUUUAUUUCUUUUUUAAGAACUUUUAAUGCAUUACAAAAGGUCAUUUCAUUUCAAAAGUGCCUACAGAAAGAAGAGAGGGCUGCAAAUGAAAUAAGGAAAUAAAAAUAAAAUACAAUUAGCUACAAUGGGACUUUUAAAAUGGGUAGAGGAUACAGACAAAACAAAAAAAAUCUUUAGAGAAACAGGCUCUAACUGUAAGAGGCAUUGCUCAGAUAACAACAAACUGCAGUAUGCAACUGAUUCCAGAUAGUUUCACAAUCAGUCUUUUUAAACUGACCAAAACUUUAGGAUAGAUAAAAUAUUAUUAAAUCUACAGGAAUUAUGGAUGAUUAAGACAAAAUAAAAUAGAAGUAACUCACUUGUUGACUAGAAAUUGAUUGAAUAUAGAAAAAGUUUGCUACACUGUACAAAUUUGUUGUUGAAGGAUAAUAUUAAGUUAGAAAUAACAUAUGGGUUAAUG